AAUAACUAAAUUAAAACAAACAAAAAUGCGACAGAGGCUAACGCGCAAAUGGACCAUUCUGUCCAAAGCUAUAAACAGCGUCGUUUUAUUUAUUACUAAAACCAAAAGAAUGAAUGGCAAUCUGCCAUUUUCCUUUUACCGCAACAAAAACCCAAUCCCUUCCCCAAAUUUCUUUGUUCCAAAAUAAAAAGGAAUAAAGGUCUUCUCCUUUCUUCCUCUGCCAAGGCGCAAAUGGAUCAGCCCCCUACUGUUAAUCCACUUUGAUCAUGAAGAACGGCGACCCGAGAAGCCACAAUCAGGUACCUUCGUCCCUUUUGUUUUCUUUUUCCCUUUCUUCUGUUGUAAAAAAACUUAAAUAGUGAAAUCAAAACAACAAAUCACCUUUUGAAAAGAAGAAAAAAAAUCGCUCCUCAUUUAAUUGAAAAACUGCUCUGCAUAUGGAAAAUCCAGAUUUUGCUCUCUAUUUUCUUUAUAUCUAUCCUUAUUCGUAUUCCCCCCAUUUACAAUUAAAAACCAAAGGCUUUAUAGCCAAAAUACAAACAGUUUCUGCCUAUUUCUUUGCUCAAGUCGCAGGUGCUGUGAAAUCGUGGAGGAAGAGUGCACGAUCGUGCAACGUGCGAGCUAAGAAUCCGUUUGUGGGUGUUGAAGCGUGGGAGUUGCGGCGUGGGCAAAUGGAACCCUAGGGUUUGCUAUUUUUUUUGAAAAAAUUUGGGUCAUUGGGCUUGUAAUCGGGCCUUUUAAUUUUAGUGAUUUGGGUCUGUAUCUUGGGCCGGGCAAAAUUUGGGUCCUACAGUUUUCACAAGAAUAAACUCGGAAUGAGUUUAUGAGACCUAAAAUCAUACAUACACACAUUUCAUAUAGCCAUAUUAACCACAUACCAAAGCAUUCAAGCUAAGUUAUACAUAUUUGGUACUUCUCAAUACAAUUAAACUACUAAUUCUUAACAUCAACCAUUCUUAAUACUUCAAUUCAACCAUUUUCACAAUAACAAACCAAAAAUACCAUGAUCAACAUUAACACCUCUUUUACAACUUUAAACAUUAGCCAAAUCACAUGAUCACUACAUAUACAUAUACUUUCUAACCAUAUAUGACAUUAAACCGAAAUGCCCCCUAGGUACAUGCCAAAGGACCAAAUGAAACUCUCAAUACAAACUUGGUUGAGUAAAAAAAGGUAGUCCGGAUGCUAACUUCAAGUCCUGGGGCUGCAAGAAAUACCUGAACCUGUGCAUAGAGAAAACAAAUCGUACACUGAACAAUAGGCUUAGUGGCACAUUUAUAAUUCAAAGCAUAUAAUAUAAUCAUUAGCAAAACAUUUCAAUUCAAUACAUGUAUAUUUAUAUGCACAUAAAAUCCUAAUAACUUACAUUUUUAGUUGCCAUACCUUUCAUCAACAAUCUAUAUACCUAAAUAUGCAUAUAACCAAAUGUUAAUCCAUCCCAAUCCAAUUACAACAUUAAGUAUUUAAAAAUAAGUCUUUUCUAUAAACCAUUUAUAUUCUAUGUGACAUAAUUCACUUUUUCAUAUCACAUUAUUUACUAGUUUCUAGAGUCUAUUAACUCAUUCGUAUCCAUUUCUGCCCCUAGGGUUCGAUUUCAUUUAAUUUGUAUGCUUGAUUGUGUGAUUUUACCGUUUCUUUCAUAUUUAAGUACAAUUCAUUCCAAAGGUAUUCGAUUUAUACGCAUUUGCAACCCCUAUUAACCUAACUCAGACUCAGAUGGAUACUCGAAUUGUCCAACCAAUGCACCAAACUGCCACUGAAGUGCAUCACCAGAUAAACUGAAAUAGGGUAAACUAGCACUUAUGUGUAUACUUGUCACAUCCCAAAAAUUGGGUUAGUAGAAAUUAGAUUAAUGAACUGAGAGUGGUCACGUCUGAAAUUUUUUUUAGAUGACCUUGGCAUAUUUGUCAAUAGAUAAGUAUCAAGUAUAGUGAAUAAGUGAUGGUAGAGUUAUCUUUGAUGUUCUAAGUUUGAAUCUCUUCCCUCUCAUUAAUUUCUAUUUGGUGCAAAUUUGUUUCAAACCUUAGUACAGGUCACACUAUAUUUUUAAAAUAAUUGUUGUAAAAGUGUGAACAAUGAAUUAAAUGGCCUAGUUGUAAUAUCCUGAAUUAGGGCCUAAUCGAAAUAGUGGUUUCGAGAUCAUAAAUCUGAGAUAGAAAUAAUUAUUUUAUUAUCAUUUUAAGGUCUAUGGUAUGAUUUCAUAAUUGUGUGAAAAUUUCGUUUAGAAAUUUUAUCAAUAGAGGGUUCAAUUUGAUAUUUAGGACUAAAUUACAAAAUUUGUAAAAUAUAUGUUCUAGUUCACAAAGGUACUAAGUACUUGUGAGUAAUAGGUUUUUAAAGUGGAGGUCCUUGGAUAUUUAUUAGACCAUUAUACUAGUUUGGACAAAAAUACCUAAAGGAAGAUAAAACACCAUAGUUUUUAAUUAAAGACAUUUUGGUCAUUUAGUUAUUAAAAUGAAUUAAAAAUAAUGGUGUUUUAUCUUCCAAAAAUAAUUAGGAGUCAUACUUUAUAUGUAUAGAUUCCUUAUUGAGUCUACUUUUAAGAGAAAUCGAAGAAAAAGUGAAAGUGAUUCGAGAUUGUUUCAAAGCUGCUUUAGAUAGACAGAAAUCCUACGCGGAUUUGAAACGAAAAGAAAUUGAGUUUCAAGUCGGCGAUAAGGUAUUUUUAAAAGUGUCUCCAUGGAAGAAAGUUCUUAAAUUUGGUUGGAAAGGCAAGUUGAGUCCGCGUUUUAUCGGACCGUAUGAGAUAAUUGAAAGAGUUGGACCGGUAGCAUAUCAGUUAGCAUUACAACCUGAAUUAGAGAAGAUUCAUGAUGUAUUCCACGUAUCUAUGUUACGCCGGUAUCAUUCGGAUCCUUCACAUGUAAUUUCACCGACGGAAAUUGAGCUACAACCGGAUAUGACUUACAAUGAAGAACCGAUUAAGAUUUUAGCUCGGAAGGUCAAGCAACUAAGAAAUAAAAAUAUCGCUCUCGUGAAAGUAUUGUGGCAAAAGCACGGGGUAGAAGAGGCUACAUGGGAGCCCGAGGAAACUAUGAGGAAUCAAUACCAACACCUAUUUACCGGUAAGAUUUUCGAGGACGAAAAUCCCUAAAGGGGAGAGAGUUGUAAUAUCCCGAAUUAGGGACUAAUCGAAAUAGUGGUUUCAGGACCACAAAUCCGAGAUAGAAAUAAUUAUUUUAUUAUCAUUUUAAGGUCUAUGGCAUGAUUUCAUGAUUGUGUGAAAAUUUCGUUUAGAAAUUUUAUCGAUAGAGAGUCCAAUUUGAUAUUUAUUACUAAAUUGCAAAAGUUGUAAAAUAUGUGUUCUAGUUCACAAAGGUACUAAGUACUUGUGAGUAAUGGGUUUUUAAAGUGGAGUUCCUUGGAUAGUAAUUAGACCAUUAUACUAGUUCGGACAAAAAUACGUAAAGGAAGAUAAAACACCAUAGUUUUUAAUUAAGGGCAUUUUGGUCAUUUAGUUAUUAAAAUGAAUUAAAAACAAAAUUAAAAGCCAAUUUUUGUCCAUCUUCAACCCCUUGGCCGAAUUUCACAUGAGGAAGACAUAGCUAGGGUUUUUCAAGCUUCCAAGCUCGAUUGUAAGUCCAUUUUAGCCCCGUUUUUAAUGUUCUUUACGUUUUUGGUGUCCCGGUAACUUGAUUAAGCUUAUUCUAGCAAUAAUUUAACCUAGGGUUUAUAUUUGGAAAAAUAACCAUAGGUGAAAUGUGUUUAUUUUGAUGUUUUAUGGUAGAAUAUGAAGCUUUAAAUUGUGUUAAACAACUUUUGCUAAGCGAUUUUACGUGAAAACGAGUAAAACGACAUAAUCGGUAAAAAUACCUAAUGUUCAUAAGUACAUGUUAGAGUGAGAAUUUGAUGUUUCCAUAGAAGGGAAAAAUUAUCAGCAUGUCAUAAAACAUAAUAAAAUAGGAUGAAGUUUAAUUUCCGAGCCUUGGGGUAAAACUGUAAAUAUGUAAAAGUUUAGGGGCAAAAAUGUAAUUUUUCCAAAGUUUGAGUCAAGGACUGUUUUAAUAAAUGUGAGUAUUAAAUAAACUAAAUUUUUUAUUUUAGAUCAAGAGAAACAAGAUUCGAGUCGUGAUCGAGGAAAAAAUAAAGUUUACGAGGAAUAGGCUCGAUUUCUAAUAUUUUGUAUCGAGGUAAGUUCAGGUGUAAAUGUAGUAACAUAAUUGUCAUUUUAAGUAAUUUAAUGUUAUUUAUAUGAUAUGAUGAUUAUUGUCAUGAAAUAUUAUGCUUUGUGGAUUAUUAUUUAGUAAUAUGCAAAUUAUGUGAGCUACUUUAUAAAUAUGAAAUGCUAUCAAGUAUCGGUUCCGACAUUUCGUGGAAGGCAGCAAAGAUGUGUGAUUGAGGAAAAACCCAUUUGAACCUUGGGAAUAUAUUAGGAUACAAGUGACAUGUCACUAGGAUAUUUGAGUUCCCAGCUCGUUGAGUUGAGUCUGAGUUCGUGAGAUGUAACUAGGCAUCCGAACUCGUUGAGUUGAGUCCGAGUUCACUUAUAGAUGCGACCGACCAAGCUCGUUGAGUUGAGUCCGAGUUCACUUAUGGGUGGGUUACAUGGUAGCUUGGCUACAUAAUUUUUGCAAGCUAUGAAGUUUGUCUAGCUGUGGGUAUGGCACUUAUGUGCAUGCAUUUUGUGUAUCCGAUUAUAUUUCGAGUGUUCAACGGGUAAUUUGGCGAAGUAUUCGUUGAUGAUCCCAAUGAGAUAAGCCAUUGGUGAGUAUGUCUUUGAGUUAUGUUACAAGUUGUACAAGUAUGUACACUAAAUUUAUGUGUGAUGCCUUGAUAUGUGAUGAUCUAUGAUGUAUAUAGUAUUUGGUGAAUAUUAUGACAAUGACAUGAUUUGGAAUAGGUCCUUGAUACUUGAUGACAUUGAGAUUAUGGAUUUGUGCUUAUAAAGCAUAAUUAUGUGUUCUUACCAUUAUGAAUGAAAUGAUAUUGUAUGGAUUUGGUGAAUAAUAAUAAUAAAUGAGUAAAUUUUGCCUUGGCAGUUUUGGGUUAUUGCAGUGGUGCAACUUUGGAAAUUCACCAUAAAUUUUGGAAAUUGAAUUAGGGUCUGAAUAAAAUAUUAGGUUAAAUCACAAUGAGCCUAGUUUUACAUAAAAGAAACGGUAUAUGCAAUCGAAAUUUAUAUUAUGAGAUAUUUAAAUUGUUGUGAGGCAGAGUCUGAAUGACUUCGUGAUCCCCUAUUUUGAUUUGAGAAAAUCAUUAAAAAUUGUAUAAAAAUAAUUAUGGGUUUUAGUUUAUAUUAUUAAAAUCCUGAUGAGUCUAUUCUCUAGAAAGAUAGAUGAGAGCAUUAUCCAAAUUCUGUACUAUGAGAAAAAUAAAUUUUAGUGAAGAGAGGUCAGAACUGUUGAACAUCAAAACAGGGGAAACUUUAAUGAAUAAAUUGUACUAAUUGGCUAAAUUAAAAAUUCUGGAAAAAAUUAGUAAAUAUAUAUAUGAGUCUAGUUUCAGGGAAAAUUUACGGAUUUUAAUUUCGAGUUUUGUAACUCGAGAUAUGAUUUUUUUAGCGACUAUGACACAGAUGGGCAGUUUAUUAUGAAAGGUAAAAUAAAUUGUUUGAAAUUGUUUAAGUGAUAAUUUAAGUCUGUUAAUGCCUCUUGCUCGACUCCGACGACGGUCUCGGGUAAGGGGAUGUUACACUAGUGGUUAAGAGAUUAAAUAAUUUCCUAAGAGUCUUAGGUUCAAGUAUUCACAUUCUCUAUAUAUUUAUUUAUUUUUUUGGCAACUUUUGCAUGGGAAAAACCCUCCUUGUCGUCCACCUUUGUUACCAUGCAAGGGAAGAUUUCCUUCUUUGUGUGUGAGUCAACCUUCGUUAAUUAAACCCCCUUUUCACUCCCACAAUCCUUUUUUCAUUCCUUUGUCCCCCCAACUUACCAGUUUGUCUCCCUUACCAUAGAGUAUUGUUCAAUGCACCUAGACAAGUUUCAUUCUCAUCAUUUUUUUUCAUUUUGGUUCUCCCAUCCAUUCUUUGGCCACCCUUCCUCCUUUUUCCUCCCUUUUCUCUUCAUUUUUUUUCAUUUUACCUACAAAACAAAGCUUUUUUUUUUUUAAAAUUCUUUCACAUCUCCUCCACUCUUAGCCAAUCGCACCACCACCUCACUACCAUAUCUCCGCCGUCAAACCUUCAUCGUAACCAUCGCCUUCAUGCUGCUGCCAUCGACCACCACUAUUUUUUUAUCGUUUUCUUUCUUUUCUCCUCCUCUCUUUCAUAAUCAAACUUUUUAUUAUUCAAACUUCAUAUCCCGAUUUUUCUUGAAAGGUUUUGUUGUUAAUCUUUUCUAAUCUAUCAUUUAUUAUUAUUUUAUUUGUUAGUUGAUAAUCCUCCUCUUUAAUCGAAUCAUCGCAAGAAGUCUUGAGCCUCCUUACCCUCGAGAUUACAUGAGUAUUGGUAAAUUCUUUAAUUAGAUUAUUUCUUUCUUUAUUAUAAUUUAUGAAAAAUUCUAACAAGGGUAUUUCUUGUUUGCACAUGAAGUGAUUAUUUGAAACCUCAGAUCCAUACUCCAUCCUUUAGAGGUGUUCGUUAUUGGGACCAUUGAUUAAGAUUCAAGGGUUGAUCUCCUCUCAUAGAGUUAGGAAACAGAAUCGUUAUUAUCGGGUUAUACAAAUUUAGGUAUGGAUCUAUCCUAAUACAAGUUUUAUAUAUAUCGUGAAUAAUGCCUAAAUAAAAUAUUACUAUUAGAUUUGUGUUUUAUGCGAAUACGUUAAGUGUUCUAAAACGGGAGACUAAAUCUGUCAAAACAGAUUAUAUAAGUAAGUGAUUUCGAAGUAACUAUUUUUAUAAAAAGUAUGUUGUGUGGUUAUGACUAUCACUGAUUUGAAAAGUAUGUUAUUCUCAUUCUCAUAUUAUGUGAUAUUAUGGCAUAAUUGAUUUUAUAUGACUAUUAAAAAUGUGAUGUUUUGAUACAUCAAGACUAAAUGUGAAUUGCAUGUUAAAACAUACCUAUAUGAUACUAUAUGAUAACUGAUUCAAUAAGGAAGAUUCACAUGCCUAAAGUGAUAUUCUGCAAUAAAGUGAAAAUAUGUUCAUUGUGGCCAUAUCACAUGCAUAAGGUUAGGAUAUGUGUAAAGAGGAAGAUUUGGCAACUUGUCUGUGAAUUUGGUGGUUUUGUCCAAAACCUACAUGGCAGCUUGUCUGAGAAUUUAGUAGCUUUAUCCAUAACCUACAUGGCAACUUGUCUGUGAAUUUGGUGGUUUAUCCACAACCUACACGACAGUUUGUCUACAAAUUUGGUGGCUUUGUCCACAUAUAUAUUAGAGUGUUUGGAUGGAUGAGUUUUUAGGAACUUUUUUUAGAGUGUAGCGAUGAUGGGUAGGAGCUUUUCUGAAAAACUUGCACCAAUUUUUGAAAAGCUCUACAUUGACACCCUCAUGCACACUGGAAUAUGUGAAAUUAUGUUGUUAUAUAUAAAUUCUGUUAUUUUUAUGAAAUGUAUAUUUUGAUUACUGGUUGUUACCAAAGUUAAGACUAUGUGGAAUUAAGCCAUAUAAAUUCGCUAUAAUAUUUUGAUUUGUAUACUUAAUUUCUGCUUAAUACUUGAGUUAAGACUCACAUUGAGCUUAAAAGCUCAUCCCUUUAGUUUCACAACCUUUUCAGGUGAUUCACGAACAUAAGACUUGGAUUCAGCUUACAGAGGAGCCUAUGAGAUGGAUUUUUAAUAAAUGGUUACUGAACUAUUGGGUUUGUUAUUUUGGACAUUGGAUUUUUAUUGGGUUAAUUUUACUUUUAAAUUUUAAACUUCCAUGCAUGCAUGUUUGAUAAGCUUACAAAUAAUUUGAAUUGUGG
rnacentral:lncRNA from 1 species